rnacentral:lncRNA from 10 species
GUGUUUCAAAUCUGCUCUGUCUAAGGGAAGGUUGAACUCUGUGAGUUGCAUACACACAACACAAAGAAGUUACUGAGAAUUCUUCUUUCUAGCAUAAUAUGAAGAAAUCCCGUUUCCAACGAAGGCCUCAAAGAGGUCCGAAUAUCCACUUGCAGACAUUACAAACAGAGUGUUUCCUAACUGCUCUAUGAAAAGAAAGAAGGUUAAACUCUGUGAGUUGAACGCACACAUCACAAAGCAGUUUCUGAGAAUCAUUCUGUCUAGUUUUUAUACGAAGAUAUUUCCUUUUCUACCACUGACCUCAAAGCGGCUGAAAUCUCCACUUACAAAUUCCACAAAAAGAGUGUCUCAAAUCUGCUCUGUGUAAAGAACCGUUCAACUCUGUGAGUUGAAUACACACAACACAAGGAAGUUACUGAGAAUUCUUCUGUCUAGCAUAAUAUAAAGAAAUCCCGUUUCCAACGAAGGCCUCAAAGAGGUCUGAAUAUCCACUUGUAGACUUUACAAACAGAGUGUUUCC